ACCGCCGAGACCGGCCCUCUGGGUCGCCGUGGUUACAGGUGGUUACAGGUGGUUACAGAUGUUUACAGAGUAUUACAGGUGUUUACAGAUGUUUUACAGAUGUUUACAGGUGUUUACAGAUGUUUACAGGUCUUUACAGAUAAUUACAGAUGUUUACAGAUAAUUACAGGGGUUUACAGAAUAUUACAGGUGUUUACAGAUGUUUACAGGUGUUUACAGAUAAUUACAGGUGUUUACAGA